rnacentral:lncRNA from 1 species
AUUAUGGUAAAAUAAAAAAAAUACCCGGUUUUGCUUCAGACAAAUAAUGUUGGUUAAAUUUGUUAAAUUUACAACAAAAAUACAACACAAAAUGAAAAAGUAAAUCGCGAUACCUUCUUGCAAAAGAAAUUGGCCGCAUAAAUAACUAUUAUUCCAACUUGAAACUCAAGAGAGAGAACAUAUCUUUUUAAAUUAGUAAUAUAUUUAAUGCAAAAUAAGAAAGAAAAUAAAAGACAAAGAAUAUUGUCAACGAAUAUAUUUUAUCGAAAAAGUAAGUGGUAGUGACAAGAAAACAAAAAGCAAUGCCCCAGGUUUAUCGUCAAGUGUAUGACAAGCCAUCUCUCUUUGCAAAUUGUUUUUUUUUUCGUCGAAAUGUUCAGCUUUCUUCCUCCAUUUAUGAUCUGCAUCUCAGGACAUGUCAUGUGUCACCUUUACAAGAUUUAGUUCAGCCAGGUCUAAUAAUGUUUAAUUAAUCAGUAAGUCCGAUCUAUAAAUGCAUCGGCAGGGAUUCCUGUGGCUUUAUGUCGCCUUCAAAAGUUGUUUUUCCAGCCCUGUCUUGAAUUUUAAACAGUAAGUCCGAUCCUCAACGAUCGGCAGUUACGCUUCUGAUAUUUGUCUCCCUCAAGAGCUUUUAAAAGUCUUAUCUAAAACCACUGACAGUGACUCUAUAUAUAUGGCACUGUGCCAUCUCAAAGUAAUUCUUAGUCUUGAUUUGCAAUAGAAAAAAGUAAGUCCGAUCUUCAGCGAUUGGCAGGGAUACUUGUGGCAUUAUGUCACCUGUAGUUAAAUUCUUAACUUGUCCUCGAUUUAAAGUAAGACCUUUUUAAAAAACUUUUCUCAUUAUACACUUUUGUUUUCUUCUUUCCAUUCCUCAUAACAACUAUUUUGUUGAAUGGGAUUUUAAUAAAAUUUUGUCUUUUCUAACCAUCUGUGGAGAUACAGUGUGACCUAGCUAGGCUGGGUCGAGUUUUCUUUCUCCCUGUAGCUCAUUCAGCCAAGAGAAUGAACAUCUACAAGCCUAAGACUGACUGGAUGAGGAGAGGCUGCUUUGUCGGAAUGGAAACGAAUCCCUCCGAGGAACCGGAAGCAGGGAGGAGGACCGACAGAUGAACUGAUGACUCUGCUUGUAGGGCUACCCAUUUCUGAUUCCUAAGAAAGCGGAGCCUGGUAUACAUGGAUAAAAGUGGCUGGAUGAAGAAGCUUCUGGUUGAGGAUGACCUUGCCCCCACCCCAUUUCAGCUGGAACUAAGGAGCCGGAAGCAGGAAGGAGGACCAACAGAUGAACGGAUGACCUGCUUGUCGGGCUUCCCAUUUCUGAUUUUUGAAUUAAUAGCAAAUGGAGCCUGGCAUACAUGGAUGAGAGUGGCUGGAUGAAGAAGCUUCUGGUUGAGGAUGACCUUGCCCCCCACCCCACUUCAGCUGGAACUAAGGAGCCGGAAGCAGGGAGGAGGACCAACAGAUGAACGGAUGACCUGCUUGUCGGGCUUCCCAUUUUUUAUUUUUGAACAAAUGGAGCCUGGCAUACAUGGAUGAGAGUGGCUGGAUGAAGAAGCUUCUGUUGAGGAUGCCUGACCUUGCCCCCACCCCACUUCAGCUGGAACUAAGGAGCCGGAAGCAGGAAGGAGGACCAACAGAUGAACGGAUGACCUGCUUGUUGGGCUUCCCAUUUUUUAUUUUUGAAGUAAGUUUCAAAAGGAAAAACAAAUAAACAAUGGAAAACUGUCAUCAACUUUUUCACUCAUCUGGUUAAGGAUGACCUUGCCCUUCCUGCCCCACUUCAGCUGGAACUAAGGAGUCCGAAGCACGGAGGAGGACCAAUGGAUGAGUGUUGACUCUGCUUAUUGAACUUGCCAGUUGAGAAUUUGUGAGCACGACUUACUUAAGAAAAUAUCAAAAUAAAUGAAAAUCGCUAUUACUUUUUUGCCAGCCAAACAGGAAUUGUUGCUAAUGUGACCUAGUUUGCCUAGGCCGAGAAGCUUUCUUUUUGUUUUACAGGAUGGAGAUUGUCAUAGGGAACGUCUCAAGCCAUUACUUCAGGGAGAAAGAUGCCUGGCAACCGGAAACAGGGAAUGACUGAUGCGCCUUAAUUCUUGCUCAACAUGACAUCUGUGAUACAUGAGAUUCCCCAAGAUGUUGACCGUCAACAUCAGCAUACAUACGGAGAUGGCUUGCUGGCUACCGUUAAUACCUCCCUCCCACCACCAGAACAAAAAAUCAAUUAAAAUUCAAAUGAAAUUAGAAUGUUAUCUCUGGGUUUGGACUAAGCAAAAUGUUAAAAGGCUAUGGGACACCCCACCCUGCCUAAAUGAAUAAGCCUGCCUCAUGCACUAACAAAAUGGUGCUCAUUUCUAAAUAAAUUCAAACCUUUGACGAUUCUUUUCAGUUAAAAAACCUCAAGAUGUGGAAAUUACACUGUGCUUAUGUUUUUGUUUGUUUGUUGCAUGAAUUCACUGUUCCCUUUUGGCAUGCAUUGUUCUUGCACGUUUUAUCAUAUUGCACCUUUUGGUUUUUAAGUAGCAAAAGGAUAAUCACAGUGUAUGGCCAUGGUCUGACAAUUACUACAUUCAAAAACUCUAACAUUUGGAGCUAAAUUUGAAACUAAUAAUUUAAAAUAUUUAAAAUUGACAGCAACAUAAUUUCAAAGGGGGGGGGGUUCAUCCCCUAGCCUUUGUCUCCCUUUUCCAUCUUAUCCUUAUCACCAUAAAAAAUCUGACAAAAAAAGAAAUGGCCCUCUCCUCAUCCUUGAAACAUUGAAUUUUUUUUAGGGAAUUGGCUUUUUAGAUGGAAAGCCCCCCUUUCAACAAUGAAAAACACCUUUUUACUAAAGCAUUUAAAUAAUUGUCUGCAGUAAGGUUCCUUCUAUCGUUUUCCUUAACUUACUAUGUUCUGUCGUAAAUCAAAUAACGAUGUCAACGAAUACAUCUGAGGAAGAAGCCACUGGUUGAGGAUGACCUUGCACUCCCCGUCCCAGGAGCCGGAAGCAGGGAGGAGGACCAACAGAAGAACUGAUGAUUCUGCAGUGAACUAGCCAUUUCUGAUUUUCAAGAAGCAUGGAUGAGUCUUGGAUUGAUGGAGACUUGGAUAUGCUGUUUGUCGAUUUGACACACCCCCACCAUCACAGAUGUACCUUAGGAACCGGAAGCAGGGAGGAGGACCGACAGAUGAACUGAAGACCGUACUUACUGAGCUAGCCAUUUCUAAUUUUCAAGACCUGGGAAGUUUGUCUGUUGACUUGACACCUGAAACCAUCAUCACAUAUGACUGAGGAACCGGAAGCAGGGAGGAAGAACGACAGAAGAACGGAAGACCCUGCUUGCUGGGCUCUCCAUUUCCAAUGUUUUAGAAAUGGGAACCUGAUCUGGAUGAGAGUUGUCAGAUGAAGAGGCUUCUGGUUGAGGCUGACUUGUCCCUCCUCACCCCACUUCUGCUGAUGCUAAGGAGGAGGAAACAGGGAGGAGAACCUACAGAGGACUAUAGACUCUACUUGCUGAGCUUGCCAGGAAUUCCUACAAACUUUAAAAAUGUGACAGUGUCUGGCACACUGCUCCAUGGAGAGAAAACCCCACCAGAUAAUCAGGCAGGAAACUUCAUCAUAAUUGAAAAAAAUAUAUGAACAGUCAAUGACAUUCUUAAAGAUGAGAUGAACAUCAAUGGCAACAUCUGAAACAAAGUCAGAAGCCUGGAACAUUGCCAGAAUGACAAGGCUUUAUGCCUUAUAUAGUUUACUAUUGAACCGUCAAUGACGUUCCAAGAAAAUACAAUUAUCAGUGAAGACAAACUGCAAUGAACAAAAGUCACACUACUUGGAAUAUUAUCCUGAAGCCUUAGAUUAGGUUUAUCAUAAGUCUACAGAAAAGUUAAAACACGACUGCUGAUAAAACUAAAAAUUCCAGGAGGGAGACGAGGAAGAACUGAGAACUGAGAUGUAACUGCGUGGUGCACUGUCAUUGGACAAUUGAUUUUUGUUUUCAUACAGUUUUCUAAAGCAGACACAAUUUGCCAAAAAAAAUAAAAUACUUUGUAUGACCAUUGAGACAGAAAUGGAAUCCAUCCUGUCCAAUAAUCAACC